rnacentral:sRNA from 1 species
GGAAAGGACUCUGGGAGAUUAGAGGCAGCAAGAACAUCACUCGUGGAUGAGGGAUGUCAGUCAGGGGAUUAUCUUGUUAAGAAGGGACAAAGGCAUUAUAGCUUGUGACUGUAGAACUGACCGAGUCCAGCUGUAAAUACGCGCGUGUUACUGAGAUUUCCCCAAGCUCCUGGGAGGUGGGAGAAUGGAAUAUCCUUCAACUUCAACCCACAAUUUUCCCUUUCCCUCACCAGCUGUGAACAACAACUCCCGCAGACUCUGCCUGCACCAGAAAUGUUCUGACUUCUGGUGUGAAGGAAAUGAGAAAUGGAGGAGAAGGACCCAUGUGGCAGGGGGCUGUGAGUAUAAACGUAUGUAUACUGGAUUACAUAGAUAUUGGGAAAGAAAAACCCACACUCCCCUCCUGAAAUGAAAAGUUAACACUUGCAGCCAAAACGAAAUGUGAAAAUGAAGCACUCCCAGCCUGGCGGGCAGAGGGAUCUAGGAAUCCUACUCGGAACUGGCAGUGUGGCCCAUCGCUGUAGGCACCAAGGAAGGGCAGUGGAAGAGGGAGAGGGAGAGGAUUCCCACCAUGAGAGAGAUUUUACGUGAAAAAUAUGACUAUAACUGACAUGAUCAAUUUCUUGGUACAGGAGGGGUCAAAUGACUUAGGAAGCAUCUUGUGAGGAGAGGUGGGCUGAAACGGCAGGUCACAGGCUGCUCCAGGCACAUCCUAAGUCAGAUCCGCACUGGCUGAGGUACCGCCUCUGAAGCGCAUGUGGGAAGCCUGAUCCGAGCACAGCAUCUGCCUGGUGAUUCCUGCCGGUGAUUGACUGAUAAUUAGACACACUUACUAAGCCAUUUCAGGGAACUUGGGAAAAGAAAGUGGCAGCGCAGGGAUAUCUGGAAGCGAA